rnacentral:rRNA from 1 species
UACGAAGGGGGCUAGCGUUGCUCGGAAUCACUGGGCGUAAAGGGUGCGUAGGCGGGUCUUAAGUCAGGGGUGAAAUCCUGGAGCUCAACUCUAGAACUGCCUUUGAUACUGAAGAUCUUGAGUUCGGGAGAGGUGAGUGGAACUGCGAGUGUAGAGGUGAAAUUCGUAGAUAUUCGCAAGAACACCAGUGGCGAAGGCGGCUCACUGGCCCGAUACUGACGCUGAGGCACGAAAGCGUGGGGAGCAAACAGGG